rnacentral:tRNA from 1 species
AGACCCCGGCACACACUCAAUGCACAUUAAUGAGUUUGCAACUCACCGUGAAUUUCACUACAGGGCC